rnacentral:rRNA from 1 species
CGCAUCUGUGCAUGCAGCAUAUCAAUAAGCGGAGGAAAAGAAACUAACAAGGAUUCCCCUAGUAACGGCGAGUGAAGCGGGAAGAGCUCAAAUUUGAAAUCUUAAAGGGUUUCCCUUUACGAAUUGUAGUUUAAAGAAGUGUUUUCUGUUGAGGUUUUGGUAAAAGUUCUUUGGAAUAGGACAUCAUAGAGGGUGAGAAUCCCGUAUUUGACCUUUACUUUCAACUUUGCGAUACACUUUCAAAGAGUCGGAUUGUUUGGGAAUGCAGUCCAAAAUGGGUGGUAAAUUUCAUCUAAAGCUAAAUAUUGGCGAGAGACCGAUAGCGAACAAGUACCGUGAGGGAAAGAUGAAAAGAACUUUGAAAAGAGAGUUAAACAGUACGUGAAAUUGUCAAAAGGGAAGCGUUUGACACCAGUGUUGUUUUUCUGAAAAUCAAUUAAAGAACUGUUUAUGCUAAGUUGUUUAGACUUUAUCAGCUAACUGUUUAGUUUUGAGCUUUUUUUUAAUGCACUUUUCAGUUAACAAGUCAACAUCAAUUUCUUUUGCUGUAAAAAAGCUUGAGGAAGGUGGCUUGAGAUUCGUCUUAAGUGUUUAUAGCCUCUUGCCUAUGCAGUCGGAGAGAUUGAGGUCUGCAGCGUAGAUCCUUCGGGGCUAAAUGCAUUUGUGCUAAGUUAUAGCAUUUUAUAGACAACUUGUUGACUAUGAUUUGUCUUGUAGCUUACUCGCUUAUGUUAUUUUACCUACGCUUAGGAUGUUGAGCGCAUGUCUCUCUCU